AUGACUUUUAGCAUUGAAGUUCCUACAUGAACCUAUUAUAGCAUUACAGUUUACAUUAUAAGGGUGGGGACAGAUAACAACAGAUGAUCAGAUAAACAGGAAAAGUUCAGAUACACCUUCUUUCCUUAGCUUCACCCUCAGGUCAGCCAAUGGGAACCAGUCCCAGAUGGAAACUGGUUAUGAUGUAAAGGUCUAGUUUUGGGGGAUCAUUUAAGGUACAUGCAAAGAGUGAGGGUCCAAUUCAUAAGAGGGAGGUGGCUUGAUCACUCCUCCCUUCCCAGGAGCCUCCUUUACCCUUUUGGGGUGUGGACAAAGCCAGAAACCAGGCCUAACUCUUGGUAGAGAAAAGCGUACUUGGUUUUAGGACCAAAGACUAGGUGACUUUCACAAGUGACUGGGACAGACAGAGACUAAUGAAAAGGGUUUUGUGAGCCACCUGCUGCCCACUUUCCAAAGCUGGUCAGGAUGAAUGCUCUGGGAGGUUUCAUCUGGAACUGUCUCCAGUUGGAGGAGGGCUUUUAUCUCCUAUCCCGCUGUCCUGGGAGGGAGGCCUAGCAGUGCCAAUCAGGAGCUCCAGGGUUUUGUAUGGGCUUUUAGCAGGGCUGUUCUGGGUAAGCUGAGCUCAUGGCCACCUCAGCUGCCCCAGUGGAACCAUCUGAA
rnacentral:lncRNA from 1 species